GGCUCAGGAUGAACGCUAGCGACAGGCUUAACACAUGCAAGUCGAGGGGCAGCGGGGGUAGCGAUACCCGCCGGCGACCGGCGCACGGGUGAGUAACGCGUAUGCAACUUGCCUAUCAGAGGGGGAUAACCCGGCGAAAGUCGGACUAAUACCGCAUGAAGCAGGGGCCCCGCAUGGGGAUAUUUGCUAAAGAUUCAUCGCUGAUAGAUAGGCAUGCGUUCCAUUAGGCAGUUGGCGGGGUAACGGCCCACCAAACCGACGAUGGAUAGGGGUUCUGAGAGGAAGGUCCCCCACAUUGGUACUGAGACACGGACCAAACUCCUACGGGAGGCAGCAGUGAGGAAUAUUGGUCAAUGGCCGAGAGGCUGAACCAGCCAAGUCGCGUGAGGGAUGAAGGUUCUAUGGAUCGUAAACCUCUUUUAUAAGGGAAUAAAGUGCGGGACGUGUCCCGUUUUGUAUGUACCUUAUGAAUAAGGAUCGGCUAACUCCGUGCCAGCAGCCGCGGUAAUACGGAGGAUCCGAGCGUUAUCCGGAUUUAUUGGGUUUAAAGGGUGCGUAGGCGGCCUUUUAAGUCAGCGGUGAAAGUCUGUGGCUCAACCAUAGAAUUGCCGUUGAAACUGGGGGGCUUGAGUAUGUUUGAGGCAGGCGGAAUGCGUGGUGUAGCGGUGAAAUGCAUAGAUAUCACGCAGAACCCCCGAUUGCGAAGGCAGCCUGCCAAGCCAUUACUGACGCUGAUGCACGAAAGCGUGGGGAUCAAACAGGAUUAGAUACCCUGGUAGUCCACGCAGUAAACGAUGAUCACUAGCUGUUUGCGAUACACUGUAAGCGGCACAGCGAAAGCGUUAAGUGAUCCACCUGGGGAGUACGCCGGCAACGGUGAAACUCAAAGGAAUUGACGGGGGCCCGCACAAGCGGAGGAACAUGUGGUUUAAUUCGAUGAUACGCGAGGAACCUUACCCGGGUUUGAACGCAUUCGGACCGAGGUGGAAACACCUUUUCUAGCAAUAGCCGUUUGCGAGGUGCUGCAUGGUUGUCGUCAGCUCGUGCCGUGAGGUGUCGGCUUAAGUGCCAUAACGAGCGCAACCCUUGCCACUAGUUACUAACAGGUAAAGCUGAGGACUCUGGUGGGACUGCCAGCGUAAGCUGCGAGGAAGGCGGGGAUGACGUCAAAUCAGCACGGCCCUUACAUCCGGGGCGACACACGUGUUACAAUGGCGUGGACAAAGGGAAGCCACCUGGCGACAGGGAGCGAAUCCCCAAACCACGUCUCAGUUCGGAUCGGAGUCUGCAACCCGACUCCGUGAAGCUGGAUUCGCUAGUAAUCGCGCAUCAGCCAUGGCGCGGUGAAUACGUUCCCGGGCCUUGUACACACCGCCCGUCAAGCCAUGGGAGCCGGGGGUACCUGAAGUCCGUAACCGCGAGGAUCGGCCUAGGGUA
rnacentral:rRNA from 1 species